rnacentral:lncRNA from 1 species
UAUAGUAAAUUUAACUCUAUAGACUGACAGCAGACAAAACACAUGUAGGUACUUCUCACUGGCUCAUAAGUCAAAAGUGAUUGGAUCAUAACAUAACACAGCCUUUACUAAAACUACGUACAAUUGGGCUUUCAAUGUAUUACUCAAAUGAUCUUGGAAGAUCUCAACAAACAUUAGGUAUAUGUAUCUUAAUGCUACACAUACGAGCUCAGUCGUAAUUCGUAAAAUCCAUACUGCAAGUAGUUUCUGUGAAGGGGGUCAUAAAAGAGAGAAUUUACAUUUUACAGAAUACUUGAGAAAGACGUUUGCGAUGUUUUAUUGAUGAUGUAACAUAAUAUAAAUCAAAAUAAAUUGCAGAUAAUGUUGUAAGUACUAAUGUCCUCAGUAAAGGUGAUAAAACAAAUAUUGAUUUUUCUGAAGUAUUUCGAUAACUCAUUAUAUUUGGCUUCUUGUGAUUUCCUAAUUCAAUACAAUACACACUGACAUUACUUUCAUCUCCCAAUUUAAAAAGUUACAUUUAGAAAAUGUCACACAACCGGAUCACAGCGGUCCGUCCACCUGAACCCUUGGGCUCACGUACGUAAAUAAUACAGUAAAAUAUAUAAUUAAAAGGACACAGUAACAGCUCAUCGGCCCUCUUCUUGGGUAAAUCUUUUGUGCCCCAGCUUAUAAAUCACAAUUGACACUAAUCUUUGUCAUCCGUAUAUUCCUAAUGUCUGCCGGCAUUUUAAUAAGUAUAUGGUCCAGCCAAUGUUCUGCUGCCCUGCAUGAAUAUGGUGUAUUUCUUUGUGUAUGAACCUCUGUCCUGCGUGGCAGUGAGAAGUGAUACCACCCUCAGUGUCAAGACCUGACUGAAUUACUCAGAAUAGGCAAACUGUACUCCAAGCUUUGUCACAAUAUUGUUCAUGAGGACUUGCAGCAGAUUUUUGCAACAAAUUUGAUCAGUAACAAAAAUAGCUCAGAAUAUGAAAUUAUAAACUGAAAGACUAUCGGUUGGAAUGAAUAUUCAACAUAAAUAACACGAGCCUUUUAAAAUGACACUUUUUAAUACUUUUUACUUUUAUCCUCUUCACCAGCCGCUUGGGUGAACGGUCACGUCUUUGGUACGCAAUGUUUUUGUGUAAUGUUUUCUCAUGAUUUUUUUUAUUUAUGCAGCUAUACAACUUAAUAAUAAACAUUUAUUUUGGUGGGGUUGUGACAAUUAUAGUCCUGUUGUUGAUCAGCAGAUAAAUCGUCAUGGUGUCUUUAUUUAUACUGUAAUUUCUGAUAGCUCAUUAAUGAAGACAACCAGUAACUAGGAUUACUCUAUAUAAUUGCUUGAUCUUGUCAAUAUGAAGUAGUGUUAUAGGGGAGUCUCGUGGCCUCUUUCAUUGCUCGUGGCAAGUCUGUUAGAAGUUUUAUCGGUGUGGCAACAUGAGGAUUGAGAGGCGGAGCGCCGGUCGGUGAUGCAGGUCAGACGGGACGGGAAGCAGCAGCAGACGCCACUCGCCAGCAGACUUUUGCAGUAGCCGGCAUCGACAGCUCAGUUUUCACACGUAUUCCUGACCCUUUCCUGCAUCAUGUCUCUAGAG